rnacentral:rRNA from 1 species
UACAGAGGGGGCAAGCGUUGUUCGGAAUUACUGGGCGUAAAGGGCGCGUAGGCGGCCUGCUAAGUCGAACGUGAAAUCCCUGGGCUCAACCCAGGAACUGCGUCCGAUACUGGGAGGCUUGAAUCCGGGAGAGGGAUGUGGAAUUCCAGGUGUAGCGGUGAAAUGCGUAGAUAUCUGGAGGAACACCGGUGGCGAAGGCGGCAUCCUGGACCGGUAUUGACGCUGAUGCGCGAAAGCCAGGGGAGCAAACGGG